rnacentral:rRNA from 1 species
AUUGAACGCUGGCGGCAGGCCUAACACAUGCAAGUCGAGCGGAUGAAGGGAGCUUGCUCCUGGAUUCAGCGGCGGACGGGUGAGUAAUGCCUAGGAAUCUGCCUGGUAGUGGGGGAUAACGUCCGGAAACGGGCGCUAAUACCGCAUACGUCCUGAGGGAGAAAGUGGGGGAUCUUCGGACCUCACGCUAUCAGAUGAGCCUAGGUCGGAUUAGCUAGUUGGUGGGGUAAAGGCCUACCAAGGCGACGAUCCGUAACUGGUCUGAGAGGAUGAUCAGUCAAACUGGAAAGGAGACACGGUCCAGAAGACUAAGGGAGGAAGCAGGGGGGAAGAGUGGACAAUGGGCGAAAGCCUGAUCCAGCCAUGCCGGGGGUGGGAAGAAGGGCUUCGGAUUGGAAAGCACUUUAAGUUGGGAGGAAGGGCAGUAAGUUAAUACCUUGCUGUUUUGACGUUAACAAAAGAAUAAGCACCGGCUAACUUCGGGC